UGCUCAGGAAGGGCGAGGGCGCGGUCACCGCCAUCGCCGUGUCGACCGAGGACCGCGUCGUGUACGCGGGCUCCUCGGACGGGCUGGUCACCUACUGGUACUGGGUCGACGGCGAGGNNNNNNNNNNAGGUGCUCAGGAAGGGCGAGGGCGCGGUGACCGCCAUCGCCGUGUCGCCCGAGGACCGCGUCGUGUACGCGGGCUCGUCGGACGGGCUGGUCACCUACUGGUACUGGGCGGACGGUGAGGCGAGAUACGGCGGCGUGCUCAAGGGCCACAAGAUGGCGGUGAUGUGCCUGGCGGUGGCCGGCAACGUCGUCGUCAGCGGCUCGGCCGACCGGACCCUCUGUGCGUGGCGCCGCGACGGCGCAGAGCACGCCUGUCUAGGCGUGNNNN
rnacentral:lncRNA from 1 species